rnacentral:rRNA from 1 species
UUCCAAAGCAAUUCAUGGGUUGAGCCCAUGCAUUUCACUUCAGACUUGCUUCGCCGUCUGCGCUCCCUUUACACCCAGUAAAUCCGGAUAACGCUUGCCCCCUACGUAUUACCGCGGCUGCUGGCACGUAGUUAGCCGGGGCUUCUUAGUCAGGUACCGUCAUUUUCUUCCCUGCUGAUAGAGCUUUACAUACCGAAAUACUUCUUCACUCACGCGGCGUCGCUGGAUCAGGGUUUCCCCCAUUGUCCAAUAUUCCCCACUGCUGCCUCCCGUAGGAGUUUGGGCCGUGUCUCAGUCCCAAUGUGGCCGUUCACCCUCUCAGGCCGGCUACCGAUCGUCGCCUUGGUGAGCCUCUACCUCACCAACUAGCUAAUCGGACGCGGAUCCAUCUUAUACCUAUAAAUAUUUUACCCCUGCACCAUGCGGUGCUGUGGUCUUAUGCGGUCUUAGCGGAAAUUUCUCUCCGUUAUCCCCCUGUAUAAGGCAGGUUAUCCACGCGUUACUCACCCGUCCGCCACUAAGUCUACUAAAAUUCCAUCCGAAGACUUCCUUUUAGCAGCUUCGUUCGACUUGCAUGUGUUAAGCACGCCGCCAGCGUUCAUCCUGAGCCAGGAUCAAACCCUC